AAUUUUGGACAAUGGGCGCAAGCCUGAUCCAGCCAUGCCGCGUGAGUGAAGAAGGCCUUCGGGUUGUAAAGCUCUUUCGGACGGAAAGAAAUCGCUCAGGCUAAUACCCUGCGCGGAUGACGGUACCUCGAAAACAAGCCACGGCUAACUUCGUGCCCGCAGCCGCGGUAAUACGUAGGUGGCAAGCGUUGUCCGGAUUUACUGGGUGUAAAGGGCGCGUAGGCGGGAUCGCAAGUCAGAUGUGAAAUGUCGGGGCUUAACCCUGGAACUGCAUUUGAAACUGUGAUUCUUGAGUAUCGGAGAGGCAGGCGGAAUUCCUAGUGUAGCGGUGAAAUGCGUAGAUAUUAGGAGGAACACCAGUGGCGAAGGCGGCCUGCUGGACGACAACUGACGCUGAGGCGCGAAAGCGUGGGGAGCAAACAGG
rnacentral:rRNA from 1 species